rnacentral:lncRNA from 1 species
UUUCCUCUCACUCAGCGUCCUGUGAUUCCAAAGAAAUGAGUCUCUGCUGUUUUUGGGCAGCAGAUAUCCUAGAAUGGACUCUGACCUAAGCAUCAAAAUUAAUCAUCAUAACGUUAUCAUUUUAUGGCCCCUUCUUCCUAUAUCUGGUAGCUUUUAAAUGAUGACCAUGUAGAUAAUCUUUAUUGUCCCUCUUUCAGCAGACGGUAUUUUCUUAUGCUACAGUAUGACUGCUAAUAAUACCUACACAUGUUAGAACCAUUCUGACUCCUCAAGAAUCUCAUUUAACUCUUAUUAUCAGUGAAUUUAUCAUCAUCCCCUAUUUUACAUAAGGAAAUGGGGUUAGAAAGACCAAAUAACAUUUUUUCAACAUCAAAACACUAGCUUGAGAUCAAGCCCAGACUUGGAUCUGUCGUCUGAAUUCCAAGCUUUUUGUUAUUUAUUGAUAUGUUUUGUUGUUUUCAUGCAAUAAUGCAAAUCUUAGCCCAAACAUUUUGUUAGUAGUACCAACUGUAAGUCACCUUAUCUUCAUACUUUGUCUUUAUGUAAACCUAAAUUAGAUCUGUUUUUGAUACUGAGGGAAAAACAAGGGAAUCUAACACUAACCAGCCCGUAGUGUGUGGUCAACACUUUCGUUACUUUAGUAUACAUCACCCCAAUUGUUUGUCUUCACCACACACUUUGGAGUUAGGUAGUAGUAUCUAUUUUUACAAAUAAGAAAACCCAGGCACAAAGGGGUUGAUUAGCAAUUAUCUUUUGAAAAGCCUGUAGUUGCUCAUCUGAAGAAGUGACGGACCACCUCUUAUUUA